rnacentral:tRNA from 1 species
UGCCUGAUGAUCCAGUGGCUAAGACUCUGCACUCCGAAUGCAGGGGGCCUGGGUUCAAUUCCUGGUCAGAGAA